GGGGAAUGCCUAGGCUCUCAGAGGCGAUGAAGGACGUGAUAAGCUGCGAAAAGCUACGGGGAUUGGCACAUACAAACUGAUCCGUAGAUAUCCGAAUGGGGCAACCCAGCAUGUUGAAGACAUGUUAUCCGCAAGGAGGCAAACCCGGAGAACUGAAACAUCUAAGUACCCGGAGGAGAAGAAAACAAAAGUGAUUCCGAUAGUAGCGGCGAGCGAAAUUGGAUUAGCCCAAACCAGUAUUGUUAAGGCAAUGCUGGGGUUGUAGGACCACGAUAUUCGAUGCAUAAUGAAUUAGAACAGUUUGGAAAGACUGACCAAAGAGGGUGAUAGUCCCGUAUAAGUAAAGAUUGUUAAGAUAGUGGUAUCCUGAGUAGUGCGGGGCACGUGAAACCCUGUGUGAAUCAGUCGGGACCAUCCGAUAAGGCUAAAUACUCCUGAGAGACCGAUAGUGAACUAGUACCGUG
rnacentral:rRNA from 1 species